GGAGAGGUGUCCGAGUGGCUUAAGGAGCACGCUUGGAAAGCGUGUGUGCGGUUGAUGCCGUACCGUGGGUUCGAAUCCCACCCUCUCCGCCA
rnacentral:tRNA from 1 species